rnacentral:rRNA from 1 species
CCUACGGGUGGCUGCAGUGGGGAAUCUUGCACAAUGGGCGAAACCCUGAUGCAGCAACGCCGCGUGAGUGAAGAAGUAUUUCGGUAUGUAAAGCUCUGUCAGCAGGGAAGAAAAUGACGGUACGUGAUUAAGAAGCCCCGGCUAACUACGUGCCAGCAGCCGGGGUAAUACGUAGGGGGCAAGCGUUCGCCGGAUUUACUGGGGGGAAAGGGAGCGUAGACGGCUGCGCAAGUCUGAAGUGAAAUGCCGGGGCUUAACCCCGGAAGUGCAUUGGAAACUGUGCAGCUUGAGUGCAGGAGAGGUGAGUGGAAUUCCAAGUGUAGCGGUGAAAUGCGUAGAUAUUAGGAGGAACACCAGUGGCGAAGGCGGCUUACUGGACUGUAACUGACGCUGAGGCUCGAAAGCGUGGGGAGCAAACAGGAUUAGAUACCCCAGUAGUC